CUGGAGCCAAAAGCUUCCCACCACUCCCGAGGCAGGCUCCCAGACCAUGACCCUGGAGAAGGUACAUCUGGUGCAAAUGUUUCAACGCGGCCCCUAUCUACUCCGUCCCAGAGACUGGUCCAGAUUAGAAGGCAGAAAAAACGAACUC